UACGUAGGGUGCGAGCGUUGUCCGGAAUUAUUGGGCGUAAAGGGCUCGUGGGCGGUUUGUCGCGUCGGGAGUGAAAACCUCGGGCUUAACUCGGGGCUUGCUUUCGAUACGGGCAGACUAGAGGUAUGCAGGGGAGAACGGAAUUCCUGGUGUAGCGGUGAAAUGCGCAGAUAUCAGGAGGAACACCGGUGGCGAAGGCGGUUCUCUGGGCAUGAUCUGACGCUGAGGAGCGAAAGUGUGGGGAGCGAACAGG
rnacentral:rRNA from 1 species